rnacentral:tRNA from 1 species
GAGGGUAUAGCUUAGUGGUAGAAUGUGUGCUUGGCAUGCACAGGGUCCUGGGUUCAAUCCCCAGUACCUCCA